rnacentral:lncRNA from 1 species
GAUCUGCCACCUCCCUUCCCCCAUAUGGUAAGUAUUAAAUGUUUGACUUAUUCUUCUUAUUUUUUUUCAGAAUUUUGGAAAUAUUUUUUAACAAUGGAAACUUAAACCCUAGAUUUUUAUGUUUAAUUAAUUUUCGCAAGCUGCAAAUUAUGUAAAUAUAGAAUGGUUAUAAACUUUGGAAAGAAUUUUUUUGGAAAGAAUUUAACGAAGGAACUUAAACCCUAAAUUUUCAUCUAUAAAUUCAUUAGUUUGAAUAAUUAACAAUGCAGCAAUCGCAAGGUAACCUUCUUCUUCUUUUGUUGUCUUUCUUUUCUUUUGCAUUAAUGCGGCAAUACCUUCUUAUUUUUUCUUCUUUUUUCCAGAUUUUUUGGUUCUAGGUGCCUUGGCCCAAAAUCGCCGCUCGCCAGCCGUUGUGUUGCACUCGCCCACUUCUAUUCUCACUUCAACUGUAAGUUCUCCGAAUUCUCUCACCCUCAUUUUCAGUUAUGUCAACAGAUUGUUUUCUGGUGUUUCCACUUCAUAUUCCCUUUUCUUUAUGUUGCUGAGUUGGAUGGGUUCAAAUCCUUUAUUGGCUCUACUGUUAUAGCUACUGAAUUUAUCGAUAUUUCUGUUGGAGAUUAACUAAUUAGCUGCAUCAGUAAAUGAGCAUCUGUAUGUUGUAAGCUAAAACUUUCGCUGCAUUAAUCACCACAAUUUAAUCUAAUCCCUUAUUUGUUGCAUUUGUGUUUUGAUUAUAAUUUAUGAAAUGACGGUGUAAGUUUGAAUCUCUUGAGGAUUACCAAGUGAAGAUGUAAUGAAUGUGUUUGAUUCCCCUACCCUUUUUUUAGUUUUCUAAUUAAUCUUAUCUUUUGGACUUUUGGUUGCUUACCUCAAUUCAAGAUGUGGGAAUGUUUCAUAUUCAUAUGCUUUUAUUUACAAUUCUGAGUUAAUUUACAGCCAACUAAAAGAAGUUGUUUUGUUAAGCAAUCGAAAGUAUUUGUUCUGAUCUUUACUGGGGUGGAAACAGGAGGGGUUUUAGAGCAUGCCGUUAAUAAUUGUAAUGAGUCUGGAACAGGCGUUUUGAAAUUAUAAGUGGACUUCAUGGUCUAUAUUUGUGCUGUAGAAACUAUAUUUGUUACAGGCUUUUUGAAAUAAAAUGUGGACUUUCAUAGCUAUCAACUGUACAGAAACAUUCUAAAUUAGUGAAAGAAAUUCUGUUGCAAAUGAUGCAUCUCUGUUCUCUACAUUUGGAGAGGAAUAUAAUGAGAUAUUGUUUUGUUUUACUGCAUUCCAUGAUAUUUUAAACUCAAAUAAUUGUUUUGUUUUCGAUGGGUGUUGAUGGGUGAUUUAAAUUUAAAUAUGGACAGGUUGGAUUGAAGAUUGAAGAUACGAGGGAAGAGGAAGAAGAGGAGGAGAAUGAGCAAGAUGAAUGAAGAGGGCUAACAUUUUAGUGUUGUUGCCUCUGCAAAUGGCCUCAAUCCGAAGUAGGAGAAAACCAAGAACGGCCCCAAACCGGGCAGUCUGAAGCAGGAGAAAACCAAGAAGUUGAUCUCCAGCAGCGCCCCAGAUCAUACUGAUCCAAAGCUGUCAAGUUUUCUACCGAAAAAGAAAGUUAAAUGGAAGCCUGAUGCCAAGGUGGUCGAAGCCACAUUCCGCCUCGAGAAGCUGGUGGUUUUGUAGGGCGGAGAAACGACAUUAACUUGAUAAUCACUUGGGUGUUGUUUAUCUGUGUAAAGCAUUGAACUACCGUUGAUAGUUGAUUACAGUUGAUAGUUGAGUAGUUUUUUAGUUAGAUUUUUUGUUAUGGUGUAUUAAUCUUUGUGGUAAUUUUGGUAAUUAUUGCCACUGAACUACAGUUUAUAGAGGAUUUUGAAGGUUCUCUAUUACAAGUUAGAUUAGUUGUAGAGCUCAUAGAUUAAAUUUGGCCGUCUCUUUUCUCUUUUUGUUGUGGGGAAGGUUGACUACUAUUUUAUUGGUGAAUUAUGGAUUUAUAAUAUAUAUAUAAUAUAUUUUAAAUAAAAAAAAUAAAAUGUAUUUUUGAAAGUAUCGUAUCAUGGUUUUUGAAAAAAUGACGUAUUUAUGUUCCCAUAUCGUUUUCGUAUUAUGUAUUCGUCCCCAUACUUCAUAGAAUUAUUAUUCUAUUAUUCAACUAAUAUUUAUUGUUAUUUUCAAGCCUUGGCGGGUAUCCGAUAGGUAGCGGGUGACGGGUAUCUGGCAGGUGGCGGGUUGGUGGAUACCCGACAGGUGGGGGUAUCCGCGAGUCGUGUGUAUGGGUGACAAAUAGUAGUGUACAAGAAGUUGAAAUUUUUUUCUAAAAUUGUUGCAGUUUCGUGGUGAUUUAUUUAUGGGGUGGUUUAUUGCAUUUGUUGGGUGCUUGAUUGCAGGAUGUCGACACCGAGAAGCAGCAAUGCUCCUACCUCUCAAGUCUUAACGGGUAGCGGGUGAGUGGUAUUCGACGGGUUGGCGGGUAUGAGGUGACAGCAANGUGAAAAUUGAAAUAUGGCUACAACCUUAGAAAGCCCUUCUUUUGGGUGGAUUGAGCAAUCAUUUUUUAGAUUUGAUGGAUUUUCGGUCAUACUUUGACUCAAAACUCCAUUUCAGAGAGGUCGAAUAUUAUUGAAGAAUAGGGUAGCAUUUCAUUCUUACCAUGUUUCAUAUGGCAGCGUAUUUUUUGAAAGUUAAAGCCAAUAAUUUCUUGCCUUCUCAAUUCGUUUUGAGAGGAAUUUAGAUAGCAGAUUUUGUCUUCACAAUAUAUGCCUUCUUCCUUAAGCAACUAAUGGAAGGAAACUUUCUGUAUAUGAAUACAAUGCUUAGACUAUAUAAAGAGGUUCAUAGCAAAGGAUUUUACACACAAAUUGAAGCAGUAGCUAUAGAUAACAACUCAUUCCUUCGAUUUACUUUCUUUGGUGAUAAUUUGUUCCAAUUUCGGGUGAGUUAUUGUCUCUACAAUUGCAAGAAAUCUGUUUUCAAAUUUUGCAUAUUAUGUGUUUGAUAAAAUGCUUGAGAGAACCUGCAAAUUUUUCUUUACAUUCUUUAAUAUCUAUAAAUAUAAAUAAAAUCUAAUACUUGACUGUUCUCAUCACAUCUGAAUUUUAUCUUAGCCCAUAUAAAAUCUAAUAAUGUGCUUUAUAUGUCAAUUCCUUGACUAACGAAAAAAAUUGGAGAUACUAAUGUUAAAGGUUAAAAUAUAGUCAUAAUAUUACAAUAUUUCAAAAGGUGAACUUCAUAUUUUCGUUUAUUAAAUAGUGUGUGUGAGCCAAAGACAAUACCACCCUCAAUUAAUAUUUUUUAGAAUUAUAUAAAUAUAUCGGUAUGAAAUAUUGAAAUUAAAAGGAUUUCACAUACGUAUCUAAAUUUGUAGAGUCAUGAAAAUUGAUUAUGCAGUCUUUUAACUAAUAUGGCAUACACAUCAUUUUUUUCCCCCUCGAGAUAUGAGUAGUAAUUAUAUACACAUAGAAUGCAAUAUAUGUAUAUAUCCACUCCAUGCGUACAUGCUGAUUUUUUUCCUAAAAUUUAUGGAAUCAAAAGAGUCGAUAUUUUCCAAUGCAGAAUUUUAGUCGGCUGCAAUAUUCAAAAAGAUAUUUAUGGAUCAAAACAAUCAAAUCUACCAUUUUUUAGGUACAAAACUUAAUAUUGGAAAAUAACAAUACAUAUUAAAUCUUUUUUUCGUAGUUGUUAUUAUUAUUAUUAUUAUUAUUAUUAUUAUUAUUAUUAUUAAAUUGCAGGAGACUUAAUCAUAAAAUGUCCUCUAUUUUUAAUGUUGCAUAAGACGCUAAUUUGUGCAUUUAAAUUAUAACAUUAUAAUUAACUUCAUUGUUGUUAAUUUAUUAAAUAUAAACACACAUACAUGUAUGUAUAUUGAAGUGUCCUACAUUGUAUUGGAGAUAGUGGCAUGAGCCACUUUAUAUGGUGAGGCAACCCCUCUCCCUUAUAAGGCCUUUUAAGGGAGGNCCCUAGAUUUUCAUCUAUAAAUUCAUUAGUUGAAUUAUUAAAGAUACAGCAGACGCUAAGGUAUUUCUUCUUUCUUCUUCUUUUUUUGUUUGUCUUUCUUUUCUUUUGUAUUAACGCGGCAAUACCUCUUUAUUCUUUUUCUUUUUUUUUCCAGAUUUUUUGUUUAGAGGAUUAAGGGAUUGCUUACUUCCCUGUUUUGGCGGGUGGCGGUUGGAAAUUUUUUAGACAUUAUCGUACACAAACAUGAAGAAAUUAUCAUUAUAUGACCAAGGUUUGUGAUUUGAUAAAGUUCAUCGAUUCAUCACUCAAAUAAAUAUGAAUAAUUGUGCAGGGAUAACAUAGCUGAUAAUGCUAAUCUUGAUUGUUUUGUAUAUAAUUGAGGUGGCUUGAUCUUGAUGGGUUGGCGCUAAUCUUGAUUGUUUCGUUGCAGUCACUGGUGGUCUAGGUCUAGCUGAACAGCUUGCUUUAUUUUCAUUUGACCUUAAAUCUGGUGUUCUGUUGCUAUUUAAGAUGUAAUCAUGCAGAUACCACAAAAAAAUACAGUUGCUCGAAAGUUUUAGUUUGGUAUCAAAUAUUCACAAGUCUUUUUCAUUCUAGAAUCUGUGUGUGUCUCUGUGAGUGCCUAUCCUCAUAUUCAUCUACGGUAUUGGAACAUUAGACCUUUUGUUUCGUAAUUUUCCAGUUUUAUGUUUGUCCUCAGCUUUUGAUUUUAGUUUGGGAGCACUUUGAUUCAAGAAUCAUCUUUUAUUCAAGAAUGAUUCAAGAAUGAUUGUAUAGCUAUGUGUAAUGAUUCAAGAAUGAUUUAUUUGAGACAACAUUUCAGUCUUAACUUUCUUUCUCUGUUUGUUUCUUUCUCUGUUGUGGCCUAAUAUCUGUAUUUUUCUUUGUAGUUGCCUGGCGAUAACUCAAGAAUAUUCAAGGGUUGGAAUGAUUGUCUUUUAUCUAUCCAUCUAUCUAUCUAUAUAUUGAUCAUUUAAACGGAGUUUCUCUUUUCCCCAUAUCUCAAAGAAAAUGUAACCUCAUAUUUUUUUAGAUCAAGGAUAUAUCUAUAGUUGGGGAGAAAUUUAUUUAUUUCGCUACCCACUCAAAAAUAAUUACUACAUAAAACUCUCCCUCCACUCUUUACUG